ACGCUCGACACCUACGGGAGGUAGCAGUGGGGGAUAUUGCACAAUGGGCGCAAGCCUGAUGCAGCGACGCCGCGUGAGGGAAGACGGUCUUCGGAUUGUAAACCUCUGUCUUCGGGGACGAUAAUGACGGUACCCGAGGAGGAAGCCACGGCUAACUACGUGCCAACAGCCGCGGUAAUCUGAGCGGGCUGGCAAGGC
rnacentral:rRNA from 1 species